CGCACACACACACCAAUCUGCAUGCCACAAUAUCAGUUUAUUGGCUUGAUAGACUUUUAACAAGCAGCCUUUAUGCAAAUACUAAGUGAAUCUAAAUUCUUAACACAGUAUCAUUUACAAAGAGAAGAUGUCAAAUGCUAUGUAAUAGUCCAUUAAUUGUGUCACUAUCACCAACAAAGAUGGUCUGUCUCGGAAUAAGGCCAAUAGAAUAAGAGAAGAACAUUUUGGAUGGCUGAGCAGACCUCUCGGACUGUGAAUGGUACCAGUACAAAGAGGACAAUAGACACAUGCCUCUGUGGUCAUUGUCUACUCAAACUACCUGAGAAAGUUGCAACUUUGGGUUAUUGCACUGCUGGAGACGUACUGCACAGCAUAUCUGCACAAGUCUUUUUCUACACAGAGAUUGUCCACACAGUGAGGUAAAGCCUCUGUGAAGAACAGUGGAAGGCAGAGACACAGAGCAAGGAGCACGAUUCUGUAUUUCUUGUUUCCACUAAAGACUGAUGUUAAAAGCAAUAAGAAAUUUCUGUCUCUGUUGCCAAAAUGCAUCAUAAAUAUUACUGUCAUGAUUUAGCAAACCAACACCGACCUAACAGACAGGAAAACAGAGCUCAAUCCAUUUUAACAUCAUGUGGCCUCCAUAACAUUCCUUCAAAGCUAAUUAAGGUAUACAGGCACCUUGUUUUCCAGGAGAGAUUUCCUUCUUGAGCAAGAAGUAGCUUCAGUACUGGUGCUGUAUUAAACAAAUUUGAGGUGAGGAAACAUAAUGCUGGGAUUGGAAGAACAAGACUGACAUGUAAGCAUGGGACUUAACAAGUCUGAUAAUCUUUUGUCUUUUUUAUAAGUUUUAGUAAG